UACGUAGGGGGCUAGCGUUGUCCGGAAUCAUUGGGCGUAAAGAGCGUGUAGGCGGCCCGGUAAGUCCGCUGUAAAAGUCAAAGGCUCAACCCUUUGAAUGUCAGUGGAUACUGCCGGGCUAGAGUCCGGAAGAGGCGAGUGGAACUCCUGGUGUAGCGGUGGAAUGCGCAGAUAUCAGGAGGAACACCGGUGGUGUAAACGGCUUUCUGGACCAUAACUGACGCUGAGGCACGAAAGCGUGGGUAGCAAACAGG
rnacentral:rRNA from 1 species